UAGCUAAAUGCGGAAGAGAUAAGUGCUGAAAGCAUCUAAGCACGAAACUUGCCCCGAGAUGAGUUCUCCCUGACUCCUUGAGAGUCCUGAAGGAACGUUGAAGACGACGACGUUGAUAGGCCGGGUGUGUAAGCGCAGCGAUGCGUUGAGCUAACCGGUACUAAUGAACCGUGAGGCUUAACCUUACAACGCCGAAGGUGUUU
rnacentral:rRNA from 1 species